rnacentral:tRNA from 1 species
UCCCUGGUGAUCCAGUGGCUAGGACUCUACGCUCCCAAUGCAGGAAGCCCAGGUUCAAUCCCUGGUCAGGGAA